rnacentral:rRNA from 1 species
GACGAACGCUGGCGGCGUGCCUAACACAUGCAAGUCGAGCGGGGAGAGAUCUUCGGAUUUCUCUUUAGCGGCGGACGGGUGAGUAACACGUGGGUAACCUGCCUCAAAGAGGGGGAUAGCCUUCCGAAAGGAAGAUUAAUACCGCAUAAUAUCAGGAAGCUGCAUGGCAUUCUGAUUAAAGGAGCAAUCCGCUUUGAGAUGGACCCGCGGCGCAUUAGCUAGUUGGUGAGGUAGCGGCCCACCAAGGCGACGAUGCGUAGCCGACCUGAGAGGGUGAUCGGCCACAUUGGAACUGAGACACGGUCCAGACUCCUACGGGAGGCAGCAGUGGGGAAUAUUGCACAAUGGGGGAAACCCUGAUGCAGCAACGCCGCGUGAGUGAUGAAGGCCUUCGGGUCGUAAAGCUCUUUGAUCAGGGACGAUAAUGACGGUACCUGAAAAACAAGCCACGGCUAACUACGUGCCAGCCGCCGCGGUAACAC